rnacentral:rRNA from 1 species
GUCUACGGCCAUGCCACCCUGAACUAGCUGAUGUCUGAUCUCGGAAGCUAAGCAGGGUUGGGCUUGGUUAAUACUUGGAUGAGAGACCACCUAGGAAGACCAGAAGAGACC